rnacentral:rRNA from 1 species
UACGAAGGGGGCUAGCGUUGCUCGGAAUCACUGGGCGUAAAGGGUGCGUAGGCGGGUUUUUAAGUCAGGGGUGAAAUCCUGGAGCUCAACUCCAGAACUGCCUUUGAUACUGAAGAUCUUGAGUCCGGGGAGAGGUGAGUGGAACUGCGAGUGUAGAGGUGAAAUUCGUAGAUAUUCGCAAGAACACCAGUGGCGAAGGCGGCUCACUGGCCCGGUACUGACGCUGAGGCACGAAAGCGUGGGGAGCAAACAGGG